CGCAGGCGAACGCUGGCGGCGUGCUUAACACAUGCAAGUCGAACGAUGAACAGGAGCUUGCUUCUGGGAUUAGUGGCGAACGGGUGAGUAACACGUGAGUAACCUGCCCUUGACUCUGGGAUAAGCGUUGGAAACGACGUCUAAUACCGGAUAUGACCCCUACCGGCAUCGGUUGGGGGUGGAAAGAUUUUUUGGUCAAGGAUGGACUCGCGGCCUAUCAGGUAGUUGGUGAGGUAAUGGCUCACCAAGCCGACGACGGGUAGCCGGCCUGAGAGGGUGACCGGCCACACUGGGACUGAGACACGGCCCAGACUCCUACGGGAGGCAGCAGUGGGGAAUAUUGCACAAUGGGCGAAAGCCUGAUGCAGCAACGCCGCGUGAGGGAUGACGGCCUUCGGGUUGUAAACCUCUUUUAGUAGGGAAGAAGGGAGCUUGCUCUUGACGGUACCUGCAGAAAAAGCACCGGCUAACUACGUGCCAGCAGCCGCGGUAAUACGUAGGGUGCAAGCGUUGUCCGGAAUUAUUGGGCGUAAAGAGCUCGUAGGCGGUUUGUCGCGUCUGCUGUGAAAUCUGGGGGCUCAACCCCCAGCCUGCAGUGGGUACGGGCAGACUAGAGUGCGGUAGGGGAGAUUGGAAUUCCUGGUGUAGCGGUGGAAUGCGCAGAUAUCAGGAGGAACACCGAUGGCGAAGGCAGAUCUCUGGGCCGUAACUGACGCUGAGGAGCGAAAGCAUGGGGAGCGAACAGGAUUAGAUACCCUGGUAGUCCAUGCCGUAAACGUUGGGAACUAGAUGUAGGGGCCAUUCCACGGUUUCUGUGUCGCAGCUAACGCAUUAAGUCCCCGCA
rnacentral:rRNA from 1 species